CCUACGGGCGGCAGCAGUGGGGAAUAUUGGGCAAUGGGCGCAAGCCUGACCCAGCAACGCCGCGUGAAGGAAGAAGGCUUUCGGGUUGUAAACUUCUUUUCUCAGGGACGAAGAAAGUGACGGUACCUGAGGAAUAAGCCACGGCUAACUACGUGCCAGCAGCCGCGGUACUACGUAGGUGGCAAGCGUUAUCCGGAUUUACUGGGUGUAAAGUGCGUGUAGGCGGGGAAGCAAGUCAGAUGUGAAAACCACGGGCUCAACCUGUGGCCUGCAUUUGAAACUGUUUUGCUUGAGUUCUGGAGAGGCAGACGGAAUUCCUAGUGUAGCGGUGAAAUGCGUAGAUAUUAGGAGGAACACCAGUGGCGAAGGCGGUCUGCUGGACAGCAACUGACGCUGAGGCGCGAAAGCGUGGGGAGCAAACAGGAUUAGAUACCCGAGUAGUC
rnacentral:rRNA from 1 species